CCUACGGGUGACAGCAGUCGAGAAUCAUUCACAAUGGGGGAAACCCUGAUGGUGCGACGCCGCGUGGGGGAAUGAAGGUCUUCGGAUUGUAAACCCCUGUCAUGUGGGAGCAAAUUAAAAAGAUAGUACCACAAGAGGAAGAGACGGCUAACUCUGUGCCAGCAGCCGCGGUAAUACAGAGGUCUCAAGCGUUGUUAGGAAUCACUGGGCGUAAAGCGUGCGUAGGCUGUUUCGUAAGUCGUGUGUGAAAGGCGCGGGCUCAACCCGCGGACGGCACAUGAUACUGCGAGACUAGAGUAGUGGAGGGGGAACCGGAAUUCUCGGUGUAGCAGUGAAAUGCGUAGAUAUCGAGAGGAACACUCGUGGCGAAGGCGGGUUCCUGGACAUUAACUGACGCUGAGGCACGAAGGCCAGGGGAGCGAAAGGGAUUAGAUACCCCAGUAGUC
rnacentral:rRNA from 1 species